GACGAACGCUGGCGGCGUGCCUAAUGCAUGCAAGUUGCACGCAGAGUGCUUGCACUCUGAGUGGCGCACGGCUGAGGAACACGUGGGCAUCUGCCCGUCCGUGGGGGAUAACUCGGCGAAAGCCGCGCUAAUCCCGCGUACGCUCCGGCAACGGAGGAAAGCAGCAAUGCGCGGUCGGAGGAGCCUGCGGCCCAUCAGGUAGUUGGCGGGGUAACGGCCCACCAAGCCCGUGACGGGUAGCUGGUCUGUGAGGACAACCAGCCAGACUGGGACUGAGACACGGCCCAGACUCCUACGGGAGGCAGCAGCAAGGAAUUUUCGGCAAUGGGGGCAACCCUGACCGAGCAACGCCGCGUGGAGGAUGACGGCCUUCGGAUUGUAAACUCCUUUUGCGGGGGACGACAUCGACUGUACCCCACGAAUCAGGCUCGGCUAACUCUGUGCCAGCCGCCGCCGUAACAC
rnacentral:rRNA from 1 species